CGGCAGGCCUAAUACAUGCAAGUCGGACGGGAUUGGAGAGCUUGCUUUCCAUGAGAGUGGCGCACGGGUGCGUAACACGUAUGUAACCUACCCUUGUCAGGGGGAUAGCCUCUCGAAAGAGAGAUUAAGCCCGCAUAACAUCACGUUAUAGCAUUAUAGUGUGAUCAAAUAUUUAUAGGACAAGGAUGGGCAUGCGGAACAUUAGCUAGUUGGCGGGGUAAUGGCCCACCAAGGCUACGAUGUUUAGGGGAUCUGAGAGGAUGACCCCCCACACUGGUACUGAGACACGGACCAGACUCCUACGGGAGGCAGCAGUAAGGAAUAUUGGUCAAUGGGCGGAAGCCUGAACCAGCCAUGCCGCGUGCAGGAAGACGGCCCUACGGGUUGUAAACUGCUUUUGCAGGGGAAUAAACCCCCGAUCGUGAUCGGGGCUGAAUGUACUCUGAGAAUAAGG
rnacentral:rRNA from 1 species